rnacentral:rRNA from 1 species
GUUAUAUAGUCAAGUGACAAAGUGCAUACGGUGGAUGCCUUGGCAGUCAGAGGCGACGAAAGACGUGAUAGCCUGCGAAAAGCUUCGGGGAGGUGGCAAUGUACCUUUGAUCCGGAGAUGUCUGAAUGGGGAAACCCACUUAUCGUAAGAUAGGUAUCACAUACUGAAUACAUAGGUAUGUGAGGCGAACGAGGGGAAGUGAAACAUCUCAGUACCCUCAGGAAAAGAAAUCAAUUGAGAUUCCCUGAGUAGCGGCGAGCGAAAAGGGAGCAGCCCUUAAGUUAAUUAUGCUUUAGUGGAACAGUCUGGAAAGUCUGGCCAUAGUAGGUGAUAGCCCCGUACACGAAAGGGCAUAGUUAAUGAAAACGAGUAGGACGGGACACGUGAAAUCCUGUUUGAAGAUGGGGGGACCAUCCUCCAAGGCUAAAUACUCCUGACUGACCGAUAGUGAACAAGUACCGUGAGGGAAAGGCGAAAAGAACCGUGGUGAACGGAGUGAAAUAGAACCUGAAACCGUAUGCAUACAAGCAGUAGGAGCACCUUUGUGGUGUGACUGCGUACCUUUUGUAUAAUGGGUCAGCGACUUAUUCUCAGUAGCAAGGUUAACCGUGUAGGGGAGCCGUAGAGAAAUCGAGUCUGAAUAGGGCGUUAAGUUGCUGGGAGUAGACCCGAAACCGGGUGAUCUAUCCAUGAGCAGGGUGAAGGUUCAGUAACAUGAACUGGAGGCCCGAACCCACCGUCGUUGAAAAGCCGGGGGAUGACUUGUGGAUAGGGGUGAAAGGCUAAUCAAACUCGGUGAUAGCUGGUUCUCCCCGAAAGCUAUUUAGGUAGCGCCUCGGACGAAUACCAUUGGGGGUAGAGCACUGUUUCGGCUAGCGGGUCAUCCCGACUUAGCAAACCGAUGCAAACUCCGAAUACCAAUGAGUACUAUCCGGGAGACAGACGGUGGGUGCUAAUGUCCAUCGUCAAGAGGGAAACAACCCAGACCGCCAGCUAAGGCCCCAAAUUUCUAGUUAAGUGGGAAACGAUGUGGGAAGGCAUAGACAGCUAGGAGGUUGGCUUAGAAGCAGCCACCCUUUAAAGAAAGCGUAAUAGCUCACUAGUCGAGUCGGCCUGCGCGGAAGAUGUAACGGGGCUAAAACUAGAAGCCGAAGCUGCGGAUGCGUAUUUUAUACGCGUGGUAGGGGAGCGUUCUGUAAGUCUGCGAAGGUGUGUUGAGAAGCAUGCUGGAGAUAUCAGAAGUGCGAAUGCUGACGUGAGUAACGACAAGGGGAGUGAAAAACUUCCCCGCCGGAAGACCAAGGGUUCCUGCGCAACGUUAAUCGGCGCAGGGUGAGUCGACCCCUAAGGCGAGGCUGAGAAGCGUAGUCGAUGGGAAACAGGUUAAUAUUCCUGUACCUCUUACUGAUGCGAUGGAGGGACGGAGAAGGCUAUAUCUACCAGCGAUUGGUUGUGCUGGGGAAAGGUUGUAGGCAUGUGUCUUAGGCAAAUCCGGGACACUCUAUGCUGAGAACUGAGACGAACCUAUACUUGUAUGGGGAAGUGAUAGAUGCCAUGCUUCCAAGAAAAGCUCCUAAGCUUCAGUCAGUAAGGGAUCGUACCCGAAACCGACACAGGUGGUCAGGUCGAGAAGACCAAGGCGCUUGAGAGAACUCUGGUGAAGGAACUAGGCAAAAUAGUACCGUAACUUCGGGAGAAGGUACGCUGCUGAUUGUGAAGUCUUUACGAUGUAAGCGAUUGGCAGCCUCAGAAACUAGGCCGCUGCAACUGUUUAUUAAAAACAUAGCACUCUGCAAACACGAAAGUGGACGUAUAGGGUGUGAUGCCUGCCCGGUGCUGGAAGGUUAAUUGAUGGGGUUAGCGAAAGCGAAGCUCUUGAUCGAAGCCCCAGUAAACGGCGGCCGUAACUAUAACGGUCCUAAGGUAGCGAAAUUCCUUGUCGGGUAAGUUCCGACCUGCACGAAUGGCAUAAUGAUGGCGGCGCUGUCUCCACCAGAGACUCAGUGAAAUCGAAAUCGCGGUGAAGAUGCCGUGUACCCGCGGCUAGACGGAAAGACCCCGUGAACCUUUACUGCAGCUUUGCACUGAACUUUGAUCUUACUUGUGUAGGAUAGGUGGGAGGCUUUGAAGUCAGGACGCCAGUUCUGAUGGAGCCAUCCUUGAAAUACCACCCUGGUAAUAUUGAGGUUCUAACCCAGGUCCGUUAUCCGGAUCGGGGACAGUGUAUGGUGGGUAGUUUGACUGGGGCGGUCUCCUCCUAAAGAGUAACGGAGGAGUACGAAGGUGCGCUCAGCGUGGUCGGAAAUCACGCACUGAGUAUAAAGGCAAAAGCGCGCUUAACUGCGAGACCCACAAGUCGAGCAGGUACGAAAGUAGGUCUUAGUGAUCCGGUGGUUCUGUAUGGAAGGGCCAUCGCUCAACGGAUAAAAGGUACUCUGGGGAUAACAGGCUGAUACCGCCCAAGAGUUCAUAUCGACGGCGGUGUUUGGCACCUCGAUGUCGGCUCAUCUCAUCCUGGGGCUGAAGCAGGUCCCAAGGGUAUGGCUGUUCGCCAUUUAAAGAGGUACGCGAGCUGGGUUUAGAACGUCGUGAGACAGUUCGGUCCCUAUCUACCGUGGGCGUUGGAGACUUGAGAGGAUCUGCUUCUAGUACGAGAGGACCGAAGUGGACGAACCUCUGGUGUUCCGGUUGUCACGCCAGUGGCACUGCCGGGUAGCUAUGUUCGGAAGGGAUAAGUGCUGAAAGCAUCUAAGCACGAAGCCUACCUCAAGAUAAGGUCUCCCUGAGGGUUUAACCCUCCUAAAGAGCCGUUAGAGACCAUGACGUUGAUAGGUUCGGUGUGGAAGCGCGGUGACGCGUGAAGCUAACGAAUACUAAUUGCUCGUGAGGCUUGACUAUAUAACACCAAAACAGUU